UCUUGGACAAUGGGGGCAACCCUGAUCCAGCCAUGCCGCGUGAGUGAUGAAGGCCUUAGGGUCGUAAAGCUCUUUCGCCUGUGAAGAUAAUGACGGUAGCAGGUAAAGAAACCCCGGCUAACUCCGUGCCAGCAGCCGCGGUAAUACGGAGGGGGUUAGCGUUGUUCGGAAUUACUGGGCGUAAAGCGCACGUAGGCGGAUCGGAAAGUUGGGGGUGAAAUCCCGGGGCUCAACCCCGGAACGGCCUCCAAAACUAUCGGUCUAGAGUUCGAGAGAGGUGAGUGGAAUUCCGAGUGUAGAGGUGAAAUUCGUAGAUAUUCGGAGGAACACCAGUGGCGAAGGCGGCUCACUGGCUCGAUACUGACGCUGAGGUGCGAAAGUGUGGGGAGCAAACAGG
rnacentral:rRNA from 1 species